rnacentral:rRNA from 1 species
GAUGAACGCUAGCGGCAGGCCUAAUACAUGCAAGUCGAACGGUGUCUUCGGACAUAGUGGCGCACGGGUGCGUAACACGUAUGCAACCUACCUUACAUUGGGGGACAGCCUUUCGAAAGGGAGAUUAAUACCGCAUAAGACAGUAGCUGGGCAUCCAGCAGCUGUUAAAGAUUUAUCGAUGUAAGCUGGGCAUGCGUCCAAUUAGCUAGUUGGUGAGGUAACGGCUCACCAAGGCAAUGAUUGGUAGGGGAACUGAGAGGUCAAUCCCCCACACGGGCACUGAGAUACGGGCCAGACUCCUGCGGGAGGCAGCAGUAGGGAAUAUUGGGCAAUGGACGCAAGUCUGACCCAGCCAUGCCGCGUGCAGGAUGAAGGCGUUAUGCGUUGUAAACUGCUUUUAUACAGGAAGAAACGACUCUUGCGAGAGGCAUUGACGGUACUGUAUGAAUAAGCACCGGCUAACUCCGUGCCAGCCGCCGCGGUAAAAC